AUUCUGUUCAGCUGCUAUUAUAAAUAAUCAUGGACUGGGUGACUUAUAAACAACAGAAAUUUAUUUCUUUUCUUUUUUUUUUUUUCAGACUGAGUCUCGCUGUCGCCCACGCUGGAGUGCAGUAUUGGGAUCUCGGCUCGCUGCAAGCUCCGCCUCCCAGGUUCACACCAUUCUCCUGCCUCAGCCUCCCGAGUAGCUGGGAUCACGGGUGCCUGCCACCACGCCCGGCUAAUUUUUUAUAUUUUUAGUAGAGACGGGGUUUCACCGUGUUAGCCAGGAUGGUCUUGACCUCCUGACCUCGUGAUCCACCCGUCUCAGCCUCCCAAAGUGCUGAGAUUACAGGCGUGAGCCACCGUGCCCGGACAGAAGUUUAUUUCUUACAAUACCAUUCUACUCUCUAUUUUUAUAACAGGCCAGAAUGUCCAAGAUCAGUUUGCCAGCACAGAUCACAUGAAAUCAACAUAUAAAUGAAAAGCCGUCUGCAUUUCUGAAAUGAGAUGGAACUUUUGACUUUUCUACUUGAAGAAACAGUAUCACUGUCACUCUGCUAAAAACUAUUUUUUUCUCCUCUCACUAACUAUAAAAUCAAAAAGGCAGGGAAAAUCAUGUCCCAAGUUUGAUUGAGGGAUAGCUCUGAUUUGUUACUAAAAUUGCUAUCAGUAGUUAAAAUAAUGUACAUGUAUGUAUAUAUGAGUAAUAUGUAUAGGUAAUAAUGUACAUGUAUCUAUACAUAGGUAACAUACAUAUAUAACAGUAAUAUGUGUUUGUAAUGGUAACGUAUAUAAGUAAUAAUGUAUAUGUAAUAGUAAUAUGUAUAUGUGUGCAUAUGUAAUAGUAUGAUUAUGCAGCAACCAUCAUCAAUGACCAAUCUAUUUAAACUCCACACUAUAACUUUCUGCACGUGUGAUGUCUCUUAAGGUCAAUGACCCUCUAAAUGUAAAAAUAGCAUGUGUGAGGCCCCACCUAUGGUUGUUCAGAGCUCCAGGAAACAGGUGGCAUGUGAGUGAAAUCAAGAUAUUUAAGGUACCAGUUGUCCUCCAUAAAGUGAACAUUUUUAGUUUUCUGACUUGAAGAUGUGGAUAUUUUCAACCUUUUAAUUCUAGGCUGCCUUACUCUCGUCUCCAUGGUGCAGCACACACCCCGUGAAUAAGCCCUGUUUCAUCCAAGAAAAACAACCUUUGACCAUCCACCUCCUCAUAUCUCACCUGGGGAAAACCAGUUGGCCUAUCUUUGACUGACUUCAACACAUCAAAAUGUGCACAAUGGUCAUUUUACUGAAAGUCCUAAAAUGUUCAUUAAAAAACCAAUUCAAACUUAAUAAUACUACCCUAACUGAGGUAGACUCUUAAAACCAGUUUCUGGUCAAUGAGAUACCUGUGUCAAAUGGUUGUGUAAUCAAAUUCUUUCCAUAUCCUGCAAACAUAGCUUGAUGAGUUUAAUUAACGAUCAUUUUGAAUUCUUUUAUGCAGACAGGUUUUUUUUCCUAAAGCAUUUAUGAUGCCAGGAUUUUUAUUUUAUUUUAUUUUAUUUUAGACAGGGUCUUGCUCUAUUGUGCAAACAGUGGCGUGAUCACAGCUCCUUGAGGCCUCAACCUUCCAGGCUCGAGUGAUCCUCCUGCCUCAGCCUCCCAAGUAGCUGGGCCUACAGGCAUGCACCACCAUGCCUGGCUAAUUUUUUCUAUUUUUUUUGCAGAGACUGGGUUUUGUCGUGUUGCCUAGGCUGAUCUCAAACUCCUGGGCUCAAGCUAUCCACCCACUUCGGCCUCCAAAGGUGCUGGGCUUACAGUCAUGAGCCACCGCACCUGGCCCAAUGCCAGGAUUUUAAACAGAAAUUUUCCCUUCCAGGCAGCUUUGACAAAUCAUACAUUUUUUUUUCCUUCUAAGAUGAGCUUAUGUUGGCUGUGAUCUCAAUCGCACUGAUACAGUGCUCCUUUUUAAGGACACAGAUUAAUUGGAGGUGGGGAAAAGUGUUGGUGUUUAAAGGAAAAACAUUUUCUUUUUAUAUAAUUAUUGAGUAAUUUGGAAGGCAUUGUAGAAAUCAUCCAUGUCUUUGUAAAAUCCGGGGGCUAGAUUGAAUUUCCUUUCUGUUUCCUCCAGCUUUAGUGUUCUAUGAAUCUAUCAUCCACUCAACUUUGAACUCCUGCUGAACAGUCACCAGGUCUUACUCGUCUUCAUACUUCCAAAGGCCCUUACAAGGCCUGGCACGCAGUAGGGCCUCAUUACUUGUUUGUUAAUGAAUGUAUAAAUCAUCCCAUAUGCUUUGUAUGCUUCAUUUCAAUUCUUUCUGAGUAUAGCAAGAAUCAUAUGUUGCCAUUCAUGGCUCACAAUUCUGUUCUUCAGCAUCACAAAAUCAUACUGGUAAAAUUUUCCUAUUUCAUGUUUUAUGCUGUAGCUAUAGGGUACAAACGCAUACUAUUUAUCAUGCUGAUGAUUUUGUUGAGGUGGAUCCGUUUAGUCAUUCAUUUAAUAAAUAUUUACAGAACACCUACUGGGUAGUUGUAUUGCAAUGCUGAACUGGACAAAGUUCCCUAUAACAAGGAACUUGUCUAAUAAAGAAGACAGACAAGUAAACAUAAAAUAGUAUGAGUGUUAUAAAGGAUAAGUACGACAAGCUGUGGGAACAGAAGAGUAGCUCACCUGGUCUGAGGAAUUCAGGAAAUGUUUCCCAAAGGAAGUAGUAGAUUCAAACCUUAAGGUUAAGAGUGAGGUGGGUGAAACUGGGCAGAGGGCCAGACAGCGUAAAGGGCAGUGAGAAUUUCAGAUCCCAGAGUGGAUGUUUAUUUAGAAGGCAAUAAAGGACCUGUGGGAGAGGCCAAGCGGGGGACGAAAUUUGUGUUUUAGAAAGACCUUUCUAACUGCAGUUAGAAAGUAGAAAGGGGCAGGACCAGAGGCCAGGAGAAGUCUAAGAAGACGUUUAGAGUGGCAGUGAAGAUAAAGGCACUGGCAGCAGACAUGAAAAGAAUUAGAUGAAUUCUGGAUAUAUUGAGGAAGAAAGUGAAUGGAUGUAUAUGGUGGUGAAAUGAUGCAGGAAAGAAGAUGUAAAUUCUGAUAUCUGCUUUGAGAAAUUGAGUGGAUGGUUGUGUCAUCUAGUAGGAUAAGAAACACCUUCUAAAGCAUUAGCACUUUGGGAAGGAAGGAAAGCAAUGAUAAAUUCUGUAGGGUUGCUACAUGAUAUCCAAGAUGAGCUGUCUAACAAUGCUAGGGUCUGAAUGUUUGUGUUCCUCAAAAUUCAUAUGUUGAAGCCUAAUUCCCUAUUUGAAGGUGAGGCCUUUCAAAGAUAAUUAGGUCAUGAAGGGAGAGCCCUCAUUAAUGAGACUGGUGUCCCUAUAAGAAGAAACAGAUGCCAGCCAUGGUGGCUCACAUUGUAAUCCCAGCACUUUGGAAGGCUAAGAUGCAAGGAUCAUAUAAGGCCGGGAGUUUGUGAUCAGCCUGGCAAUAUAGGGAGACCUCAUCUCUACAAAUAACAAUUUCAAAAAAUUAGCCAGGUGUGGUGGCACAUGGCCAUGUCCCAGCCACUUGGGAAGCUGAAGCAAGAGGAUCAUCCGAGCCUGAGAGAUCAAGGCUGCCGUGAGCCAUGAUUACACCACUGUACUCUAACCUGGGCAACAGAGCAAGACCCUGUCUCAAAAAAAAAAAAAAAAAAAAAAAAAAAAAGAGACAAGACAGAUGAUCUCUGUCUCAUGUGAGGAUACACCAGGAAGGUGAUCAUCUGCAAGCCAGGAGACAGGUCCUAACAGCACCAAAUAGACUGUCACAGUGAUCUUGGACUUCUCAGUAUCCAGGACUGUGAGAAAUAAAUUUAAAUUGUUUAAGCCACCUAUUCUAUGGCAUUUUUAUUAUAGUAACCCAAACUAACUAAGACGAAUAGUUAUUUGAUUAUAUAAAUCUGUAUCUCAGGAAAGAGUUUUGCAUUGAAAUUAUAUAAUUGACAGUCAUCAACAUAUAGAUAGAUACUGAAACUAUUAAAAUGAAUGUGCUGAGGGAAAGAAGGUGGCAGGAAAAUACUAAGAAAUGCCAAUCUUUAAGAGACAUUCAAAUACUUUGCUUACUAAUUAAUAUCACCUGCUCAGUCUCCAUUCCUAAGGACCAUAUACACUCUAGGUCAUAGGGAUUGACUAUGGUUCGAAUGUGACCCCCAAGUUCACCUGUUGGUAACUUGAUCCCCAGUGUAGAGAUGUUGAGAGGGGAGAUCUUUAAGAGGUGAUUAGGUCAUGAGGCUCUACCCUCAUGAAUUUUUUAAUGCCAUUAUCAUGAGAGUGGGUUUGUUAUCACAGCAGUGGCUUCCUUAUGAAAUGAGUUUGACCCCUUUCUCUAUCUCUUGCCAUCGCUUUGCCCUCUGCCAUGAAAUGACAUAGCAAGAAGACCCUUGCCAAAUUCUGGCCCCUAAGUCUUGGACUUCAUAGCCUCCAGAACUGGGAGCCAAUAAAUUUUUGUUCAUUAUAAAUUGUCCAGUCUGUGGUAUUUGGUUACAGCAGGAAAAAACAGAUGAGGAUGGAAUCUAACAAGGCGCUUUCUAUGGUGAUCCUACCUAGGAGCUCUGUGGAGAGACAGAGCAAGGCCUAUGUCACUUAAGAAUGUCUUACAUACAUUCUCAAUUACUCAGUUAAAAUGAUUUACAAAUUUUGCUUUGUCAUAUGGGUGUAGAGAAGAGGAAGAGAGUUAAUUAUUAAACAUGUGAAUGCCUAAGACAUGUUCCUAAGCUUCCUCAAGAAUACUUUUUUAGAUUACAUUGAGCACAACAGACAGGAGGUCCAUGAAACUCCAUCUAGGAUAAAGAUGCCUUGUAUUUGUUACUAAGCUGUUAUUAAGGGGACCCAGCACAAUGCUUUGCUUUCACCAUCUCCUCAAAUCAUACACACACACAACUUAAUCAAGAGGGAGGAGCAGGUGGAAGAGAUGGCAGCCAUGAUGGUAUCAGCAAGAGCAAUAGCUGCCAAGAAAAAAUUUUUAAAAAGCACUUAAAUUCCUGAUAACAAACUGAAAUCAAGAGCCUUUGGCAUAAUACUUGAGUCAUAUUUGUAUGAUGUCUCAGCAGGUCAUAAAUGCUGCUUUCAGAAUUAUUUCUGUAAAUAGGG
rnacentral:lncRNA from 1 species